CCUACGGGUGGCAGCAGUGAGGAAUAUUGGUCAAUGGACGAGAGUCUGAACCAGCCAAGUAGCGUGAAGGAUGACUGCCCUAUGGGUUGUAAACUUCUUUUAUAUGGGAAUAAAAUGUUCCACGUGUGGGCUUUUGUAUGUCCCAUAUGAAUAAGGAUCGGCUAAAUCCGUGCCAGAAGCCGCGGUAAUCCGGAGGAUCCUAUCGUUAUCCGGAUUUAUUGGGUUUAAAGGGAGCGUAGGUGGAUUGUUAAGUCAGUUGUUAAAGUUUGCGGCUCAACCGUAAAAUUGCAGUUGAAACUGGCAGUCUUGAGUACAGGAGAGGUGGGCGGAAUUCGUGGUGUAGCGGUGAAAUGCUUAGAUAUCACGAAGAACUCCGAUUGCGAAGGCAGCUCACUGGACUGCAACUGACACUGAGGCUCGAAAGUGUGGGUAUCAAACAGGAUUAGAUACCCUUGUAGUC
rnacentral:rRNA from 1 species